CUCAAAUCCCUCCGAUGUGGGACAACUCAACACCCUCCUUCAUGCCCAGAUAUCUGGAGCGUGGACAACAUAAAUGGGGGCCCAACAUCGGUAACAAUAAUUGAGAUGGGCCUGGAUCUGAUACCAUGAUAAGAAUGGACAUUGGGCCUAACUCAACCCCAAAAGCUAGCUUAUGAGGUGAGGAUUGUCCAAGCCAUAUAAGGAGACCAAGGACCUCAAAUCCCUCCGAUAUGGGACAACUCAAC
rnacentral:lncRNA from 1 species